rnacentral:lncRNA from 1 species
CUAAAGAAUAAAUCUGUUUGCUCUAAAUGCAAUGAUUCAGCUGUGGAACAUAAAUUGUUAAUAUUUAAUGAAAAACCCCCUGUAGGAAAAACAGUCAAGGAAGUUUUUGAGAAAUUAAAUUAAAAUCUAGAGAAGAAGAAUUAAUGUUAAGAAGACAGAUUAGUGCUUAGUACUGGGCAACUUGUUCGUGUUCCUGUGCACAAUGGUUUGGUGCUCUUGCUCUUGUUUGAUUAAAAUUAGUAGCCUCUCUUUUCAAGUUAACCACUUGCCAUAACCGUGGCGCCAAUUCUAGUCAGUAAGUCAAGAAAGAAUAGUGAAGGUAUAGGCCAAUAGUCUGGGACAUUUCUA